rnacentral:tRNA from 1 species
CAAAUUAUUUCUUUAAUUGAGAAUUUCAUUUACGUUGAUAACUUUGUCGUUUAGAUCGACAUAAUUUGA